UUGAUGAUCUCGCGUGGCGUUAUCUCAUGAACUCCCCCAGGGCAGGAAUGCAGCAAGGGUCAGUGGGCUCUGUCGGGUACGCGAGGUCCUUUAUUU
rfam:Corynebacterium argentoratense DSM 44202, complete genome.